rnacentral:rRNA from 1 species
CCUACGGGAGGCAGCAGUGAGGAAUAUUGGUCAAUGGACGAGAGUCUGAACCAGCCAAGUAGCGUGAAGGAUGACUGCCCUAUGGGUUGUAAACUUCUUUUAUAUGGGAAUAAAACAGGGUAUGUAUACCCUCUUGUAUGUACCAUAUGAAUAAGGAUCGGCUAACUCCGUGCCAGCAGCCGCGGUAAUACGGAGGAUCCGAGCGUUAUCCGGAUUUAUUGGGUUUAAAGGGAGCGUAGGUGGAUUGUUAAGUCAGUUGUGAAAGUUUGCGGCUCAACCGUAAAAUUGCAGUUGAAACUGGCAGUCUUGAGUACAGUAGAGGUGGGUGGAAUUCGUGGUGUAGCGGUGAAAUGCUUAGAUAUCACGAAGAACUCCGAUUGCGAAGGCAGCUCACUGGACUGCAACUGACACUGAUGCUCGAAAGUGUGGGUAGCAAACAGGAUUAGAUACCCGAGUAGUC